CUACCAUGGCGAUCACGGGUAACGGAGAAUUAGGGUUCGAUUCCGGAGAGGGAGCCUGAGAAACGGCUACCACUUCUAAGGAAGGCAGCAGGCGCGUAAAUUACCCAAUCCUGACUCAGGGAGGUAGUGACAAGAAAUAACAUCUCGGGUACACAUGUACUACGAUGUUGUAAUGAGAACAAUUUAAAGCACUUAACGAGGAGCAAUUGGAGGGCAAGUCUGGUGCCAGCAGCCGCGGUAAUUCCAGCUCCAAUAGCGUAUAUUAAAGUUGUUGCAGUUAAAAAGCUCGUAGUUGAACUUCUGUCAUGGCGUCGGGCUUUACGGCUAGAACGCCAGGGCAUCACCUUUGAAUUGAUUGCACGAUACUUGAAUGUAUGGUAAUUAAAUCAAGGAUUUUACUUUGAAAAAAUUAGAGUGUUUCAAGCAGGCGAUUUGCUGGAGUACAUUAGCAUGGAAUAAUAGAAGAUGACUUACGGAUAUUUUAUUGGUAUAAUGUCCUAGGUAAUGAUUAACAGGGACAGUUGGGGGCAUUAGUAUUUAAUUGUCAGAGGUGAAAUUCAUUGAUUAAUUAAAGACUAACUUAUGCGAAAGCAUUUGCCAAGGAUGUUUUCAUUAAUCAA
rnacentral:rRNA from 1 species